GGAUGUGAGGGCAAUCUAGCUGCGCCAUCUGUCACCCCACCGAUCGCCAGGGUUGAUUCAGCUGAUCUGGCUGGCUAGGCAGGUGUCCCCCUCCUCCCUUACCGCUCCAUGUGCAUCCCUCCGGAAGCUGUGCACUCGGUCAAAGACAACCUUCCUCGAAUAGAGGAGGACCGGUCUUCAGUCAAGGGUAUAUAGAGUAGCUGUGCUCCCCUGCUNNNNNNNN
rnacentral:sRNA from 1 species